UGGGACUUGGUGAGGAGAGCAAAUUUAAAGGCCCCCAGAGGAGACUAAGCUUGAUGAUAAGAUGAAGGCCACGCCAGCAUCACCACACAAGGAGAGAGGUGGAAAGAGACAAGAAGAGGUGGUUGUAUUAGUUUCCUAUGGCUGCUAUGGUGGCUCAAAACAAGAGAAAUUCAUUGUCUCAUAAACCAGGAGGCCAGAAGUUGAAAUUAAGGUGUCUGCAGAGUUGUUCUCUUCAAGAGGUUCUAAGGAAAAAUCUGUCCCAUGUGUUUCUCUCAGCUACUGGUGGUGGCUGGUGGGCCUUGAUGUUCCUGGACUUAGACCCGCGACCUUCUAAUCUCAGUCUCCACCUUCAUCCCUAUGUCUCCUCUCUGCCUUGGAGUCUCUUUUCUUCUUGGGAGGACAUCAGUCAUAUCAGAUUCAGAGUCAUGCUUAUCCAGUAUGACCUCAUCCUUAUAUAACUGAUUACAUCUGCAGAGACCCUGUUUCCAAACUAGCUCACUUUCUUAGGCUCCAAGGGACAUCAUUCAACCGAGCACAGAGGGCCACCGAUUGUCAGAUCAUACAGGGGCUGGUGACUCUUUGCAUGGAACUUGGGUUUUUGUGUUGUUCUGUUUUUCUAAAUGCAACCUUAAAUCUCCAGAAGAUUUUUAGCAGAGGAGAGAAGUAAUCUAAUAUAUACAUUGGAUCAUUCUGACCAGUAUAUAAAGAAAGAGUUCUCAGUAGAAGAGAAAAGACAUACGAAAAGCCAGUGCACUGACUCCUGCAGUCAUUAAGGAGAGAGAUGAUAGAGGCUUGAAGCGAGCGUGUUGGCAUUUACAGCCGAGGGGUGUGGACCUUGGGGGAAGGAUCUGAAGGAUGUAUUUCACAAUGAAAAUGGCGAUGGGUCAACGAUGGAUCAGCAGAGACCCGUAAGAGCAGAACUGCUUAGCUGCUCUAACCUCAUCAUAUGUAUAGAGGUCCACGCAAAGAGGAGCUCAGCGAAACAAAGCGACACGUCAGCAAGAACGUGUUCUCAAGAACGAACUGAGAAGCAAGGAUGACUAGUGAGGUGGGGACUUAAAAGACAUUCAAAAAGAUGAUGGCUUUUAAGAUGGAAAAGUGCAGAGCGGCUGUAAUGCAUUGCCAUGGUCACCGAGCUUGGAACUGACAAAGUGAGAAAGGACCCAGGUCUCCAACCCCUUGUAGAGGUCAUGGCAAGAGUAUUGUGAGAAUCCACAGAGCCA
ensembl:lncRNA